rnacentral:rRNA from 1 species
AUUGAACGCUGGCGGCAGGCUCAACACAUGCAAGUCGAGCGGGGUGAUGGUGCUUGCACUAUCACUUAGCGGCGGACGGGUGAGUAAUGCUUAGGAAUCUGCCUAUUAGUGGGGGACAACAUCUCGAAAGGGAUGCUAAUACCGCAUACGUCCUACGGGAGAAAGCAGGGGAUCACUUGUGACCUUGCGCUAAUAGAUGAGCCUAAGUCGGAUUAGCUAGUUGGUGGGGUAAAGGCCUACCAAGGCGACGAUCUGUAGCGGGUCUGAGAGGAUGAGCCGCAACACUGGGACGGGGACACGGCCCAGACUCCUACGGGAGGCAGCAGUGGGGAAUAUUGGACAAUGGGGGGAACCCUGAUCCAGCCAUGCCGCGUGUGUGAAGAAGGCCUUAUGGUUGUAAAGCACUUUAAGCGAGGAGGAGGCUCUUUUGGUUAAUACCCAAGAUGAGUGGACGUUACUCGCAGAAUAAGCACCGGCUAACUCUGUGCCAGCCGCCGCCGUAA